UACACUGCACACCCAGUUUCCUUUCUCCAUUUCUCUCCUUCGUCUCCUCCGUGUAAAGAAGCUCUCCGACAACGCCGUUGUUCCCUCUCUGGCUUCUCCUCUCUCCGCCAGUUACCAUUUCUCUGAUCUAGAAAAUCAAAAACAUGGUACCAGAGAGGCCGUGAAAGCUAGAUAGUCAGAUCGCUCAUGUCACUGUUUGACCUCUCUUUUUUGGGGAUUUUUGUUUCUCUGCAGCUCCGCAAUCAGGUCUUGUGUUGAAGCAUUCUAUUGACGUUUGAUAGGUGCAAGCAUUUGAAAUUGAAUUAAAAGGGGUCGUUAGUCUCGAAGACUGGAGGGGGGCUUCAGUGAUUCCCAGAUCUGGAAACUUAUUCUCUUUUGAAUUCUGGUCGCUUAGGGUGCAGAUGCUUUGUAAAGGCUGUGCUUUACAUCAAAUUUGGAAGACUUCCAUCAGGCUGAUUUUAUCAUAGAAGCCAUUGUGGAAUCUGAAGAUAUAAAGAAAAGAUUAUUACUUCCAUUAGAAAAGAUUGCCAAGAGUUCUGCAAUUUUCGCGUCCAACACAAGUUCCAUUUCCAUAACUCGCCUAGCAGCUGCAACUAGCAGGCCACAUCAGAAAAAAAUUAAUUUGCAUAUAUACAACUAUUUCAGAAGGAAAAGUUCACAAAGCCACUGUUACAGCAACAAAAUCAUCAUUUGAAAGAGUCCCUCUUAGUCAUGUCAAUCGAUAAGUCAUGGAUUGGAAAACCACGAAACACGCACGAGUAUAAAGAUGGUUUAAACAAGUUUUUGGAUUUCGCUUUUGAGCAUCGAUCUCUCAGGGGUUGUCAGAUUAAAUGCCCUUGUCCGGUGUGUGGUUUUGGCAAGUGGCAAACAAGAGAGAAAGUUUUUGAACAUUUAAUAGUCAAGCCAUUUCCAGAAAACUACAAAGUUUGGUAUUGGCAUGGUGAAGAAGCAGUUGGAGUUGGGUCACAAGCUCAUCAAACUAGUCAAAUUGUACAAGAUGAUUCGACAUCUCAACAUCCAAUGGUAACAAUGCUCAAUGACGCGUUUGGAGUUGCUGGACCUGACUUGAUUGAAGAUGGAGAUGGAGAUGAAGACAACAUAGAAGAUGCAGAAAAUGAAGAGUACAAUGGAGAAAAUGUAGAAUUUUACAAGUUGUUGAAAGAUGGUAGUGAACAAUUGUAUGAAGGGUGCACAAAGUAUUCAAAAUUGUCUUUCUUGAUUAGUCUGUAUCACAUAAAGUGCUUAUACAGAAUAAGCGACAAAGCCAUGACCGAAAUUCUUAAGUUAAUAAAAGAUGCUUUUGGAAAUGCGAAGAUUUCAAAUACAUUCUAUGAGGCCAAGAAAACCAUAAACAAACUAGGGCUUAAUUAUACCAAGAUACCUGCUUGCCCUAAUGAUUGCAUGUUAUAUUGGGGGGAGGAUGAAGAUUUGCAAGAAUGCAAAAGAUGCAAGACAUCUAAAUUUGUGGGAUUGGAUCAGGAGAGUGAGAUUCCAUCACCAAAAGAGUUAGGAAGUAGGUCUUCUGGAGCAAGCAAUAAGGAAGCAUGACCUUACUUGAUAUGUUAAGACAUAUAUUAAGAAUUAUAUGUUAAGACGUAAUUGAAAAAUGUUACUUUGAUACUUUGUUUUUGGAUUAUGACAUUUCAAUUAUGACUUGGAUUAUGACUUUGGGAUCAUGUAUGAAUUAAAAAUCAUCUAUUGAUGUUUGAUUUAUAAUUAUGCCUUUUGGUUA